AAUUUAUUUUUUAUUUUUUAUUUUUCAUACAGACGGGGUCUUGCUGUGUUGCUGGAAUCAAACUCCUGGGCUCAAGUGGUCCACCCAACUUGGCCUUCCAAGGUCCUAGGAUUCCAGGAGUGAGCCACCUCGCCCGGCCGUGUGCUUUUCAUUCCACCCUACUCGUUGAGGGUUAAGCUGAAGUGUGAACAGCCGCCCGGCCCGCAGGCCAUGUGGCCCCCGCUGUUGCUGCUGCUGCUGCUGCUCCCGGCCGCCCCGGUCCCCACCGCCAAGGCCGCUCCCCUCCCAGAUGCUAACACCCAGGAAGGCCUUCAGAACCUGCUUCAAGGAGUCCAGGCUGGCGGAGACGGAGAGCUGCAGGCCGACUCACACCUGGCCCCGGGCUCUGGCUGUAAUAAUGGGGCUGUGGUGGCCACGCGACCAGAAAGCCGGGGAGGAAGACCUGCGGCUCCGUGAGAGGCAUCCAGGGCUGCAGGCCACGGCGACAGGCUCCGGGGAACAUGGGGCUUCCCCUGUUCCCUCCCAAGGAGUGUGGGCCUCAACGCAUUGACAGGGGACAGCUGUGUGCCCU
rnacentral:lncRNA from 1 species